ACAUACGACCACAGACUCAAGGGAACUGGGCAUCCCGUCCGCUCUGCCAUACAUAAGCUUGAGAUUGGCAGCUUAGUAGUUGGGUGGGUGACCGCCAGCGAAUCUCUGCUGUUGUAUGAU
rnacentral:rRNA from 1 species